AGUGAACGCUGGCGGUAGGCCUAACACAUGCAAGUCGAACGGCAGCACAGUAAGAGCUUGCUCUUACGGGUGGCGAGUGGCGGACGGGUGAGGAAUACAUCGGAAUCUACUUUUUCGUGGGGGAUAACGUAGGGAAACUUACGCUAAUACCGCAUACGACCUACGGGUGAAAGCAGGGGAACUUCGGACCUUGCGCGAUUGAACGAGCCGAUGUGGGUUUAGCUAGUUGGCGGGUUAAAGGCCCACCAAGGCGACGAUCCGUAGCUGGUCUGAGAGGAUGAUCGGCCGCACUGGAACUGGGACACGGUCAAGACUCCUACGGUAGGGAGCAGUGUGGAAUAUUGGACAAUGGUCGCAAGCCUGAUCCAGCCAUACCGCGUGUGUGAAGAAGGCCUUCGGGUUGUAGAGCCCUCUUGUUGGGAAAGAAACGCAGCAGGUUAAUACCCCGCUGUUCUGACGGUACUCAAAGAAUAAGCACCGGCUAACUUCGUG
rnacentral:rRNA from 1 species